GGACACAAUGUCGCCGGCCGCGUUCAGAGCGACAUUUGAUUCCUACAAAAUCUACUCUAACAAUCAUGCAUCACCAGUAAAAAAGGAGUCGAUUGUUGCACACUUAGAAUCACGACUAAUCUUUUAAUAUUUCGCGGGUGAAAUUGAGUGAAAGUUGAUGAAAUGCAGUUUGAAAAUAUUGCGUCGCAGGUACUUUGGCGCCCUUUUCUUUCCUUUGGUUUGGAAUAGUGCUAACCAGUGUUGCCAGUGUUUAUGAAUGGUAUAUUUAUGGAGUUACAUUUAGAUAAAGAAAACAAGUUUCAUAACAGCGAUUCGACGUUCGAGACGUUCGAGACGUUCGAGACGUUCGAACACGGAAAGCUGAUGAACGUGCAACGUGCAAGAUACUUACAGAAGAUACACAAGACAGUCAUCUUGAUCGUUAAACUAUGGAUUCUUAUGGAUUUAUGGGGAAUUUGAAAGCGCAAUAUUCGAAAAGACACACACGAUACGACAAGAUUCCGCAGGCCGAUUCAAGAUGCAGGAGAAACGUGCGGUCAAAACCGAGUUCUCACGGUGGGACAGGGAAAAAAGCGUGACCCGCCUACAAAGGUAAACGCGGGAAUUGUAGACGUCCGGGGUUAAUAUAUAUCGUCGGUGGUCUCGUUUCGAUCCCCGGUGAAAGAGUGCGCGGCGUCGGUUGCACAAAGCGCGUCAAAUUCCACGAGACAAAGCUGCUAAUUAGAGAAAUUGCGGAAGCCGUCGUGUGUCUCGUCGAUGGAUUUUCAUCGAGGAAAUAAUCGCGCUCCGCGGAAACCACAAUCGCUGUUCAGCCACGUCGAUUCGACCUGUCAUCCCAGCGCGAAC